rnacentral:rRNA from 2 species
UGAUCAGCAAUGCCGCGUGAGUGAUGAAGGCCUUAGGGUUGUAAAGCUCUUUUACCCGGGAUGAUAAUGACAGUACCGGGAGAAUAAGCUCCGGCUAACUCCGUGCCAGCAGCCGCGGUAAUA